rnacentral:lncRNA from 12 species
GACAUUUUUUGACUAAUUUUGGGGCAUUUUUUGGGCCUUUUUUGGGGCUUCUGGUGCCGUUUUUGGGGUAUUUUUGGGCCGGAUUUUUGGGUGUUUUCGUGGCUGUUUUUGGGUAUUUUUGGGACAUUUUUUGGGUAUUUUUGGGACAUUUUUUGACUAUUUUUGGGGCAUUUUUUGGGCAUUUUUGGGGCAUUUUUUGGGCAUUUUUGGGGUAUUUUUGGGACAUUUUUUGACUAAUUUUGGGGCAUUUUUUGGGCCUUUUUUGGGGCUUCUGGUGCCGUUUUUGGGGUAUUUUUGGGCCGGAUUUUUGGGUGUUUUCGUGGCUGUUUUUGGGUAUUUUUGGGACAUUUUUUGGGUAUUUUUGGGACAUUUUUUGACUAUUUUUGGGGCAUUUUUUGGGCAUUUUUGGGGCAUUUUUUGGGCAUUUUUGGGGUAUUUUUGGGACAUUUUUUGACUAAUUUUGGGGCAUUUUUUGGGCCUUUUUUGGGGCUUCUGGUGCCGUUUUUGGGGUAUUUUUGGGCCGGAUUUUUGGGUGUUUUCGUGGCUGUUUUUGGGUAUUUUUGGGACAUUUUUUGGGUAUUUUUGGGACAUUUUUUGACUAUUUUUGGGGCAUUUUUUGGGCAUUUUUGGGGCAUUUUUUGGGCAUUUUUGGGGUAUUUUUGGGACAUUUUUUGACUAAUUUUGGGGCAUUUUUUGGGCCUUUUUUGGGGCUUCUGGUGCCGUUUUUGGGGUAUUUUUGGGCCGGAUUUUUGGGUGUUUUCGUGGCUGUUUUUGGGUAUUUUUGGGACAUUUUUUGGGUAUUUUUGGGCCUUUUUUGGGGUUUCUGGUGCCGUUUUUGGGGUAUUUUUGGGCCGGAUUUUUGGGUGUUUUCGUGGCUGUUUUUGGGUUUUUUUGGGACAUUUUUUGGGUAUUUUUGGGGCCGUUUUUGGGUAUUUUUGGGACAUUUUUGGGACAUUUUUUGGGGU